rnacentral:rRNA from 1 species
CUACGGGAGGCAGCAGUGGGGAAUAUUGCACAAUGGGGGAAACCCUGAUGCAGCCAUGCCGCGUGUGUGAAGAAGGCCUUCGGGUUGUAAAGCACUUUCAGCGAGGAGGAAAGGUUGGUAGCUAAUAACUGCCAGCUGUGACGUUACUCGCAGAAGAAGCACCGGCUAAUUCCGUGCCAGCAGCCGCGGUAAU